rnacentral:lncRNA from 1 species
CCAAAAUCUUCAUUCGGCCACCUGAAGAACUCCUGGAGGAGCUAAACCUUGGCCGUUCCCAGACAGAAUUUCCAGUGAUAGACCUCAGUGGCAUACAAAGUGGUCCUGAUCAAAGGAAGAGUGUUGUUGAUACACUAAGGCGAGCAUCGGAGGAAUGGGGGUUUUUCCAAGUGGCAAAUCAUGGGAUUCCAGCAAAACUGUUGAAUGGAAUUGUACAUGGUACCUGCGAGUUUCAUGAGCUAGAUGCUGAACUGAAGGAAAAGUACUAUUCUCGUGAUCUGUCGAGAGUAGUGAGAUAUUCUAGCAAUAUUGAUCUGUAUCAAUCAAAUGUUGCUACUUGGAGAGACACUUUGACCAUUAACCUGAUGACUACUUAUCAAGUUGAACCCGAUGAAUUGCCUGAGGUUUGCAGGUAAGCUUCCCUUCAUAAUCUUGUCAACUAUUAAAUUUGAUAGGAUUGUCCUCUUUAUCUAUAUUUUACUUUCUGCAUACGAGAAGUCUAAUUGGCAUUCCUAUUCCAAAUGACAGAAAUGCAGUCAUGGAUUACAUAGAUCAUGUAACCAAGCUUGGAGAAACUCUGUUUGAGUUGCUAUCAGAAGCUCUUGGCCUAAAACUAGAUGACUUAAAUGCCAUGGAAUGCGCAAAAGCCCGCAAUUUUGUUUUGCACUACUAUCCAGCAUGCCCAGAGCCAGACAAAACUCUAGGAACUAGAAGGCAUACAGAUCCGUCCUUCCUUACCAUUCUUCUUCAAGACCAAAUCGGUGGCCUCCAAGUCCUGCGUGAUAACCAGUGGAUAGACGUGCCACCCGUCCCAGGAAGCUUGGUGGUUAACAUUGGAGAUCUUCUUCAGGUUUGUUUAAGCAGGAUUUAAUGUGACUCUGUUAAUAAUCAAAACCCCUCCCAAGUCCCAGCCCUCCCUUUUUUAAUCUGGCAACUAACUUUGUAAAAUGCAAAUAUUGGUCAGAUUGUCUCGAAUGACAAGUAUAAGAGUGCAGAGCACAGAGUCCUGGCAAACCGUAUUGGACCUAGAAUAUCAAUUGCUUGCUUUUUUUCUGGUGUAAUUGCACCUCCAAAGAUCUACAGUCCAAUCAAAGAACUGGUUUCAGAAGAAUGUCCAGCACUCUACAAAGAAUUCCAAGUUGGAGAGUAUCUCAAGAACUUCUACUCAAAUUCACUUGAUAACUCCCGCCUUCAGAAACUGAAAAUCUGAUGAGCCAGCAAAUCCAUAGCUCUAUUCCAUACUCUAUGUGGAACACACUACACUAAUAAGGACCAUGUCAUGUGUACUUGUACUUGUUUUGUCAUUCCUAAAUCUCUGUUUUCCAAGAUAGCAGCACCGUUCGUGCUGCCUUUAUUUUGCUAAGUUGAACUUCGUUUUUGGAAUCAUAAUUUGCAAUUUAAGUAUUCUGAGAAGAAACUGAUAUUCACACACUCAUAGAUCAUGCACCUGGUUGAAAAAUGAGCCUUCCAUGAAGUACAAGUUAAUGGUGGCUUAAAAAAAUUGAAAAGCAAGGUUGCUCCUGGCUGUAAAGGCCCGUGGACAUACUAAACAAAGUGAGAUUUCUUGCAUUUUCAACAAAUAAUCAUAAAAAGUGCAGAACAAUUAUCCGAUCAGCCUAGUUGAUGAUUAUCUUUAGUCCUAUUCACUACACAAUUCAAAAUCCAAAAUCAAAUCACUAGUCAAUUCAAUUGGCUUAAUUAAUCUAGAGCCACUGAAAAACAAACUCGACUAGGAACACACCUUCCUUUUCCUCUCUCUUUUUAUUUGAUGAAAUUUCGAAAUUAGAAAAACUACUGAAAAUAUGUAAUCCUUCCGCCCCAUCAUUUAGCUUUCUGCAAACUUGGGACAACUUCAUUUGUAAUUUUCACACCAAGACAGUAGAAUGUAAUAACAGUGUGUGGAAAUGGGAGAAACUUUACUAGAAACACUUGAUAAGAGGCAAUAACAUCGCAAUGACAAAAAACAGGAAAGGAUAACGCCAGCUAUUGAAUACUAAACAAAAAGAGAAUCUUUUGUUUUCCUUCAAUUUUUUUCUCCCUUCUUGAUAGCCCUGAAUAUUUUUUGUUUUGAGACCUCUGUUGAAUAAUUUUCUUUCUUAUAAAGGCCUGAAUAUUUUAUGUUUUGAGGGCUUCCAUUAAGGAAUUUUCCUUCUUUGCUCACUUGAUAUUAACUAGUGCCCCAUUGUCGAAAGUUGAAUGAGAUUACCAUACAAGUUGUGUCAGUACAUUGGAUGGUCAAUACCCUCCACAGCUGGGCAUUGGCUCUUAAAUAAGGUGAGUAGAAGAAUUCUUUUUCAAUGGUUUUUCUUUUAAAAAAACACUUCAAAUAUUUCAAAGUUAUUAAGAAUGUCAAAGACUUGUAGGUAAGGUACUCCCUCCGUAAAACACUGUAAUCCAAUUAUUAAUUUUCUGCUUCAAAGCAAUUUGACUCAGUUUAUAUUACUGAAAGCUUAUGAGCUUAUGACAUAAAAGUUCUAGAUAGGGCACUUUGCAGGUACCAUUAUACAGUUUGCAGUCUAAAGUAUGGAUGAGUCAAGUGUCACAGAGACUACAACUCAAUCAGGUGUAGAUGAUGGUAGAAUAAAAGAUCUGAAGGCCUUUGAUGAUACAAAAGCAGGGGUUAAAGGACUAGUUGAUGCUGGAGUUACUAGUCUUCCUGAAAUCUUCGUUCGGCCACCGGAUGAGCUUGUUGAGGAGUUGAACCAUGGCCAUUCCCAGGCAAAAGUUCCAGUAAUAGAUCUCAAUGGCAUAGAAAUCGAUGAUCAGCGCAAGAGUAUCGUGGAUGGAUUAAAGCGGGCAUCAGAGGAAUGGGGAUUUUUCCAAGUGGUUAAUCAUGGAAUUCCAUCCAGUGUCUUGGAUGGAAUGAUAGAUGGAACCCGCAAAUUUCAUGAACAAGAUGCAGAGCUG